AUGGAUCCUGUCGUGACCAGCAGUAGCAGCAGCAGGAGGAGAGGAGGCUACGGCUGCAAGGAGAGCUGCCAUGGCCACUGCCUACCUCCUCACUCUGCCAAAUGCCUCUGCCUCUACCUGCUGCUCUCGCUGAUCGUCCUCGUCCUCGUCGCGGCCGUGCUGCUCGUCGUCUUCGUCACGAGGCUCAAGAAGCCGACCUUCUACCCGCAGUCCGUGCAGAUGGACAGGUCGUUCAGCCUCAGACCGGCGUCUUCGAACCGCAGCGGCGACAACGCGACGUCGUCGUCCUCGUGCUUGGUGGCGUCGCUGCUGUUCGCGGCGCAGAACCUGAACGGGAUCGGGAUAAGGUACAGCGGGGCGGACCUCGGCGUGGCCCUGCCCCUACGCGACCGAGUCGGUCGGCGCCAUGGACGUGCCGGUGUUCUACCAGCCGCCGCGGAGCAGCAUCGUGAUGGUGCUCAUGCACGCCGUGUUCGAGGAGUCCAACGUCAGCCGGCUCGUCGUCAGCGAGCUGUCGGCGCAGAGGAAGCUCGU
rnacentral:rRNA from 1 species